rnacentral:rRNA from 1 species
UACGAAGGGGGCUAGCGUUGCUCGGAAUCACUGGGCGUAAAGGGUGCGUAGGCGGGUCUUUAAGUCAGGGGUGAAAUCCUGGAGCUCAACUCCAGAACUGCCUUUGAUACUGAAAGUCUUGAGUAUGGGAGAGGUGAGUGGAACUGCGAGUGUAGAGGUGAAAUUCGUAGAUAUUCGCAAGAACACCAGUGGCGAAGGCGGCUCACUGGCCCAUUACUGACGCUGAGGCACGAAAGCGUGGGGAGCAAACAGG